UACGAACUGUGCGAACGUUAUUCGGAAUUACUGGGCGUAAAGGGCGCGUAGGCGGCGUGUCAAGUCAGGCGUGAAAGCCCCGGGCUCAACCUGGGAACCGCGCUUGAGACUGGCAUGCUCGAGUUCGGGAGAGGAUGGUGGAAUUCCCAGUGUAGAGGUGAAAUUCGUAGAUAUUGGGAAGAACACCGAUGGCGAAGGCAGCCAUCUGGACCGACACUGACGCUGAGGCGCGAAAGCGUGGGGAGCAAACAGG
rnacentral:rRNA from 1 species